rnacentral:rRNA from 1 species
AUACGUAGGGUGCGAGCGUUGUCCGGAAUUACUGGGCGUAAAGAGCUCGUAGGUGGUUUGUCGCGUCGUCUGUGAAAUUCCGGGGCUUAACUCCGGGCGUGCAGGCGAUACGGGCAUAACUUGAGUACUGUAGGGGAGACUGGAAUUCCUGGUGUAGCGGUGAAAUGCGCAGAUAUCAGGAGAACACCGGUGGCGAAGGCGGGUCUCUGGGCAGUAACUGACGCUGAGGAGCGAAAGCAUGGGUAGCGAACAGGAUUAGAUACCCUGGUAGUCCAUGCCGUAAACGGUGGGCGCUAGGUGUAGGGGUCUUCCACGACUUCUGUGCCGUAGCUAACGCAUUAAGCGCCCCGCCUGGGGGGUACGGCCGCAAGGCUAAAACUCAAAGGAAUUGACGGGG